rnacentral:rRNA from 1 species
CAGCCGCCGCGGGAAUACGUAGGGUGCAAGCGUUAAUCGGAAUUACUGGGCGUAAAGCGUGCGUAGGCGGCUUCUUAAGUCGGAUGUGAAAUCCCUGAGCUUAACUUAGGAAUUGCAUUCGAUACUGGGAAGCUAGAGUAUGGGAGAGGAUGGUAGAAUUCCAGGUGUAGCGGUGAAAUGCGUAGAGAUCUGGAGGAAUACCGAUGGCGAAGGCAGCCAUCUGGCCUAAUACUGACGCUGAGGUACGAAAGCAUGGGGAGCAAACAGGAUUAGAUACCCCAGUAGUCCCUGUCUCUUAUAC